GCGAACAGGAUUAGAUACCCUGGUAGUCCACGCUGUAAACGAUGUCGAUUUGGAGGUUGUGCCCUUGAGGCGUGGCUUCCGGAGCUAACGCGUUAAAUCGACCGCCUGGGGAGUACGGCCGCAAGGUUAAAACUCAAAUGAAUUGACGGGGGCCCGCACAAGCGGUGGAGCAUGUGGUUUAAUUCGAUGCAACGCGAAGAACCUUACCUACUCUUGACAUCCAGAGAACUUUCCAGAGAUGGAUUGGUGCCUUCGGGAACUCUGAGACAGGUGCUGCAUGGCUGUCGUCAGCUCGUGUUGUGAAAUGUUGGGUUAAGUCCCGCAACGAGCGCAACCCUUAUCCUUUGUUGCCAGCGGUUCGGCCGGGAACUCAAAGGAGACUGCCAGUGAUAAACUGGAGGAAGGUGGGGAUGACGUCAAGUCAUCAUGGCCCUUACGAGUAGGGCUACACACGUGCUACAAUGGCAUAUACAAAGAGAAGCGACCUCGCGAGAGCAAGCGGACCUCAUAAAGUAUGUCGUAGUCCGGAUUGGAGUCUGCAACUCGACUCCAUGAAGUCGGAAUCGCUAGUAAUCGUAGAUCAGAAUGCUACGGUGAAUACGUUCCCGGGCCUUGUACACACCGCCCGUCACACCAUGGGAGUGGGUUGCAAAAGAAGUAGGUAGCUUAACCUUCGGGAGGGCGCUUACCACUUUGUGAUUCAUGACUGGG
rnacentral:rRNA from 1 species